rnacentral:rRNA from 1 species
UACAUGUGGGGCAAGCGUUGUUCGGAAUUACUGGGCAUAAAGGGUGCGUAGGUGGUUUGUUAAGUCACGGGUGAAAGUUUUCGGCCCAACCGGAAAAUUGCCUGUGAUACUGGCGAACUUGAGUGCGUGAGGGGUAACCGGAACGAGCAGUGUAGCGGUGAAAUGCGUAGAUAUUGCUCGGAAGGCCAGAGGCGAAGGCGGGUUACUGGUACGCAACUGACACUGAGGCACGAAAGCUAGGGGAGCGAAUGGG